GAUGAACGCUGGCGGCGUGCCUAAUACAUGCAAGUCGAGCGAAUGGAUUAAGAGCUUGCUCUUAUGAAGUUAGCGGCGGACGGGUGAGUAACACGUGGGUAACCUGCCCAUAAGACUGGGAUAACUCCGGGAAACCGGGGCUAAUACCGGAUAACAUUUUGAACCGCAUGGUUCGAAAUUGAAAGGCGGCUUCGGCUGUCACUUAUGGAUGGACGCGCGUCGCAUUAGCUAGUUGGUGAGGUAACGGCUCACCAAGGCAACGAUGCGUAGCCGACCUGUGGGGGGGAUCGGCCACAAUGGGAAUGAGACCACGCCCAGACUUCUACCGGAGGCAGGAGUAGGGAAUCUUCCGCAAUGGGCGAAAGUCUGACGGAGCAACGCCGCGUGAGUGAUGAAGGCUUUCGGGUCGUAAAACUCUGUUGUUAGGGAAGAACACGUGCUAGUUGAAUAAGCUGGCACCUUGACGGUACCUAACCAGAAAGCCACGGCUAACUACGUGCCAGCCGCCGCGGUAA
rnacentral:rRNA from 1 species